UUUUAUUCACAAGGCACAACAGAGUUCCCACUGAAGGCAGAAGAGACAAGAAUAGCCAACUCCCAUAUAAUAGCAGUAAUAUCCUCCCAUUGCAACACCCCCUAAUGCUCCUCGGAUUGUAUAGCGCUUUGUGAUAACAAAGCUAGUAUGUGGCAGGACCAAGAAUCUUACAAACUCGACAUUCACUGCUGUGUGGGAGUUGGCAAGGGAUGGCU
rnacentral:lncRNA from 1 species